rnacentral:rRNA from 1 species
AGGAAAAGAAACCAACAGGGAUUGCCCUAGUAACGGCGAGUGAAGCGGCAACAGCUCAAAUUUGAAAUCUGGCUCUCGGGCCCGAGUUGUAAUUUGUAGAGGAUACUUUUGAUGCGGUGCCUUCCGAGUUCCCUGGAACGGGACGCCAUAGAGGGUGAGAGCCCCGUCUGGUUGGAUGCCAAAUCUCUGUAAAGUUCCUUCGACGAGUCGAGUAGUUUGGGAAUGCUGCUCUAAAUGGGAGGUAUAUGUCUUCUAAAGCUAAAUACCGGCCAGAGACCGAUAGCGCACAAGUAGAGUGAUCGAAAGAUGAAAAGCACUUUGAAAAGAGAGUUAAAAAGUACGUGAAAUUGUUGAAAGGGAAGCGUUUAUGACCAGACUUGGGCUUGGUUAAUCAUCUGGGGUUCUCCCCAGUGCACUUUUCCAGUCCAGGCCAGCAUCAGUUUUCCCCGGGGGAUAAAGACUUCGGGAAUGUGGCUCUCUUCGGGGAGUGUUAUAGCCCGUUGUGUAAUACCCUGGGGGGGACUGAGGUUCGCGCAUCUGCAAGGAUGCUGCCGUAAUGCC